GUCCGGCUAAUGAGUCCCAAACAGGACGAAAUGCACGUUGCGGAC
rnacentral:hammerhead_ribozyme from 1 species